UAGUAAAAGAUAUACAUCACGGCCUUCUAAGCCGUAGGUCGCAGGUUCGAAUCCUGC
rnacentral:tRNA from 1 species